GAAAUGCGAUAAGUAAUGUGAAUUGCAGAAUUCCGUGAAUCAUCGAAUCUUUGAACGCACAUUGCGCCCUCCGGUAUUCCGGGGGGCAUGCCUGUCCGAGCGUCAUUGCACCCCUCAAGCACGGCUUGCGUGAUGGGCGUCCGUCCCCUCGGGACGGGCCCGAAAGGCAGUGGCGGCUCCGAUCUGGUGCCCGAGCGUAUGGGGCUUUGUCACCCGCUCCGUUGGCCCGGGUCGGCGUCGGCCGACAUGAUCAAUCAUUCCAAGGUUGACCUCGGAUCAGACAGGGAUACCCGCUGAACUUAA
rnacentral:misc_RNA from 1 species